AGAACGAACGCUGGCGGCGCGCUUAACACAUGCAAGUCGCACGCCCCUUUCGGGGGGAGUGGCGCACGGGUGAGUAACGCGUGGGAACCUGCCCUGGGGUUCGGGACAACCGCGGGAAACUGCGGCUAAUACCGGAUACGACCAUUGGUGAAAGAAGCAAUUCGCCCCGGGAUGGGCCCGCGUCCGAUUAGCUUGUUGGUGGGGUAAUGGCCUACCAAGGCUUCGAUCGGUAGCCGGUCUGAGAGGAUGAUCGGCCACACUGGGACUGAGACACGGCCCAGACUCCUACGGGAGGCAGCAGUGGGGAAUCUUGGACAAUGGGCGCAAGCCUGAUCCAGCGACGCCGCGUGGGUGACGAAGGCCUUCGGGUUGUAAAGGCCCUUUUCCGGGGACGAUCGAUGACGGUACCGGGAAUAGCACCGGCAACUCGUCGCCAGCAGCCGC
rnacentral:rRNA from 1 species